CUGAAAACGAAAUAAUCCAAACAUAAACCAAAUUGAGACAGAGAUUAAAGGCAAAACAAAAACAACACAAAAUUGAGAUUAAACUCAAAAUCAAUACGAUCCAUCCACGAGAAAAAUCCUAGUAAAAUACGAGUAUACAACAAAACCCACAAUAGCAAGAGCAAAGAAACUUUGAGAGGGAGAGAAAGAGGAUGAGACAGCCACAAGACUCACAACACUUAGGUUUGUUUCAUCGAGGGUGACUUGGAUGAGAUGGGUUGCACGCAAGCACCAGACUCAUCGACGUUGAGCUUGGGGCUGCCGCUGAUACAUGAACUGGCAGGCAGGAGGAGCCAAGCUUAAGGAUGCCGCUGGGCCAUGAGGAAUGCUAGUUACAGUUACCAAUUGUGUCUUCGGCGAUUAGAG
rnacentral:misc_RNA from 1 species